AUAAUAAUUAGUCUUUUAAUUGAAGGCUGGUAUGAAUGAUUGAACGAAAUAAUAACUGUCUCAUUUUAAUUAAUUUUUUAAUUUAAUUUUUAAGUUAAAAAGCUUAAAUUUUAUUAAAGGACGAGAAGACCCUAUAGAACUUUAUAUUUUUAUAUUAAAUUAAAUAAAUAUAUUAGUUGAUUUUAUGAAAUUAUUUUAUUGGGGCGAUAGUAAAAUUAAUUAAACUUUUAUAAUAUUAUUACAUAAAUUAAUGGUUAUUUGACCCUAUUUUUUAGAUUAUUAGAUUAAGUUACCUUAGGGAUAACAGCGUUAUUUUUUUAAAAAGUUCAUAUUAAUAAAAAAGAUUGC
rnacentral:rRNA from 1 species